rnacentral:lncRNA from 1 species
GGGCCUUCGCAGCGGGAACCUAAGCCUGCUGACGAUAGAUUUGCUUUUCCUAUCUGCUUUCCCCAGGCCUCAUAGAAGAACUGAGAAGUGCACAGAUUGCAAGUUUGGACGCUGGGCUGAACCCUCCCCAAACGACUCGGGCCUGCCCAACUCAGCCGCGCUCGCAGCAGCCAGCUUUUCACGAGGGACCGUUCUGGUUCCUUCCUACUUCCAGCCGCAGGUGACUCAGCCUUGGCCAGAAGCAGGGGAUUCGGAGCGGUUUCCUUAGGAGCCCAAGCGCUGCCGUCUAGAAAGCGGAGCCCAGCGUAGUACAGCUUGUGGGGCUGGAUUUUUUUUUGGAGAAGCCACUUGCAGAAAAUCCUUUCCUUCCCUCCCCGCUCUGCGCGAGGCCGAGCGGCGCCGCUCUCGCGGGGCUGGGGUCGCUCGGCUCCUCCAGCUGCCUGCCUGCUCUCACGU